rnacentral:ncRNA from 1 species
CCAGAAACAUCGAUGAGGAUUAGUAGAUUGAUCUUGUCUUUUAUAGAGAGGGGGCCACCUGCUGAAAGGUUCCUGCUGACAGCCAAUCGAACCUGCCUAGGAGUUCUGAUUCCGUUACUAGUGGAAGAUAUCAGCGGUUCAAGACCGUUAUCAUGAAAGAGUGUAAAGCUAUGCUUUGAAUUAGGGUGGUACCGCCAUGCAAAUGGUCCCUAAU